CUCUAUGGCGGCUGUGUGCGGGUGGACGAAUGUCCUGCCGGGUUUAUCCAUACCGGUGAUCUCACCCCGUACAUGGCUGCCACCUUA
rnacentral:antisense_RNA from 1 species